UCGAUGUUUUUCGUCACAUCACUAAGGAAGCGAAGAAUGUAUGUGCUUAAAAACGUUUUCACAAAUUAAAGGCUUCGAUUUGAAGCACUACUAUUUGUAGAUUUUCAACUGGUCGGAAACCACCUUUAAAAUUGCGAGUUUUGUGUGUUAGGAAUAAAGUUUGUUUUUUAUUUAUUAAAUCACAAAAGUCUUUAUUUUAAGAGAUCUGGAAGAAGUGUAAUUUGUUCAAUUAAAUUUGGAAAAGGAUAAAACUAAACUGUAAAUGACAUUUUUGUUGGAAACGCGAAAUCGAAGGACGAGGAUCCAGGCUCCAAGCUUCCCAGUAGACCACACUUGCGCGAUAUAGUUUUUCGAGUUAUAAUAAACGCCAUAAACAGUAUAUUUUCGAUUUCGUGCAAAUGAUAAGUCGUUUAAAUGUAACGUUGGAAAUUUGUACUACAACAGGGAAAAGCUCUUUCCUUCUAAAGAAAAAAACAAGGACAAAGCAACUUCUUUCCGAGCAGAAAAAUAUAAUAUAGAAAAUAAAGGUACAAAUUCAUACAAAAAUAUAUAUUAUUUUUUGAAGGUAAUUCAGAAUUAUUAUGUUUAGGAAACCACAAAUGACCACUAAGCCUUUGUUUUUGUUACCGCUUUUUUUUUUUUUUUUUUUUCAAAACUAAAUAAAACAACG